UGUGCUGCGUGGGAAAGGAUCCAGCUAUCUUGAUGGGAUAGAGUUUGAGUUAGUUACUCCAGUGUUU
rnacentral:tRNA from 1 species